rnacentral:rRNA from 1 species
CCUACGGGUGGCAGCAGUGGGGAAUAUUGGGCAAUGGGCGCAAGCCUGACCCAGCAACGCCGCGUGAAGGAAGAAGGCUCUCUGGUUGUAAACUUCCUUUCUCAGGGACGCAGCAAGUGACGCUUCCUGAGUUAUAAGCCAUGGCUAACUACGUGCCAGCAGCCGCGGUCAUACCGAGGUGGCAAGCGUUAUCCGGAUUUACUGGGUGUAAAGGGCUUAUAGGCGGGACUGCAAGUCAGAUGUGAAAACCACGGGCUCAACCUGUGGCCUGCAUUUGAAACUGUCGUUCUUGAGUACUGGAGAGGCAGACGGAAUUCCUAGUGUAGCGGUGAAAUGCGUAGAUAUUAGGAGGAACACCAGUGGCGAAGGCAGUAUGCUGGACAGCAACUGACGCUGAGGCGCGAAAGCGUGGGGAGCGAACAGGAUUAGAUACCCUAGUAGUC